CCCGUGCUACAACCGCUCAUUACAGGUACAAAAGCUUGGAGCAAUCCAACACCUGUCAUUGGCGAGUCUGAGUUUAUAA
rfam:Bacillus vietnamensis strain TCD-SED5 scaffold_1, whole genome shotgun sequence.